GGCUCUGACGACGCCAAGGAACAACAAAUAGAAGAAGAAGAAGAUGGAAGUGGAAGUCCGAUGAAGAACUUCCGGGUCGAUCUUCCUGUGAACCUUGUGCAGGAACUUCAGCGCAGGUCCUCGUGGCCGCUGGGGAAGUGGAUUGGAAGAGGUGUUUUCGGAAUUGUUAUUUAACACUGAGAAAGAUCUGUGAAACGUUAGUUGAAAUAUGAAAUAAUUUUCUAUUCCUUGAUGACGGCGAUGAAGGUCAUCGGUGAAAUGGACAACUUCUUGGAAUGGCUCCAAACGCAAGGUCUGAGAGCAGAAACAGCCCAAGCAGUGAUCAAUAUACUUGGAAUUGAGAAUUGGAAGGUUCUUCGAGCUUGUACAGACUCCGAUGCAUUGCAAACAGAGCUCCUCUCUCUCGCCAAAGAGAAAUUUAAAUUUGCAAUGUAUGCUGACUUCUGUAAAUUUGUGAAAUCUUUUUUGAAGCCGCUGAAUGUCCAGCUUGCAGGUUCUUCUCUGUUGGGAAGUCUAUUCGUCAACUUGGAGAAUGUUAUUCGUGAACUUUCCAGUUUCUGCCAAAAGUUUAUUGGAUUCCAAAAUGUGCAGCCGAAAAAUAUUCCUGGUUUCCGAGGAAUCGGUUUGAGUGAUGUCUGCAACCUCCACAAUCAGGAUGAUGGAUUAACACCCAAGUCUGGUAUGUCACUAUUUUACACAUCCUCGCAUGUCAAGAAAUACCUUGAUGUUGAACCAUUAAUGUGUUUUUUUUCUUGUAACCUAUGGAAUCUUUUUGGAACAAUUUUGUGUUGUUAAAGACGUUUAGAAUCUCGACACAAAGUCAAUGUUUUUUUUUCUCCUCAAUCGCAUUAAAUUCCAAAGUGUUCCAUGUUUAGCAGCAUAUUUAAGUUAUCCACAUGCAGGAAAUAGUUUGUUUACCACUCAUAUCGGCACGGACAUCUUAUGGGAGAAAGGAUUCUGUUAAAUAGAUCAUAUCUGGGCUGUAAGUUUUUGAGCCUAGAUUGAGAGAUCUGUCAGGAUGGAGUGGACGCCUCAGAUGUUUGAGGGACAGUGGAGAAGGUGUUGGGAGGGUGGGAGGCUUGGAGUGUGAGGGAUGGGAGAGGAAGGGUCGGCUGAGAAGGUGCCGAUAGGAGGGGGUGGGAUGGGUGGAAUUUUGGGGGGGGGAGCUUGGAGAGGAUGGGGUGAGGGGGGAGCUUGGAGAGGAUGGGGUGAUGGGGGUGCAUAAAGAGGGGACAUGUGCUUGUAGUCGAUUUUUGGGAUGGUACUGACACGGAGGGUUUGACACUAAAACAACGUGAAUUAGGUUUGAUUGUUAUGUACAGACAACCUCUGCAAAUACCUUCCCAGGAUUCCCAUGCUUAACUUUUGUUCGUCAUGGAGAGGCGGUAAUACAUGUGGAGUUUUGCCUCUAUCUGUUCAGCCGUUUCGGAGAAAAAGACUUUUAAAGUUAUUAAUUUUCAAUCCAAUAUGGCUGCCGUACCAUGUGCCCAAUUACAACAUAAAUUUAAAUUCUCCAUCUAAUGGGGAAGUGGAUUAUGCUUAAGUUUCGUGUUUAUCGGACAAGGUGCGUUUUUUUUUCUAUCCAAGAUGGACUCCAAACCAUGUGACUUGUGACAUCAUAAUUUUUACGAUAUCUGCAGGCAUUGGGGUAGAUUAUAGUUGCCAAGUUUCGCUUCGAUCGGUUAUGUGGUUCCAGAGAAAACAUUAUUUUAUAUAAUUCUUGAAUCCAACAUGGCUGCCAAACCGUGUGACCUUUAAAUUAGAAAUUAACAAACUUAGAUUCUUGACUCAUGUGCAAUACGUAUGUAAAGUUUCCCCUUGAUCUGACCAGUUGUUCUGGAGAAGAUGUUUGAAGGUUUCAGGGUAAAUUCAAGAUGGCCGCCAAACCAUGUGACCUAUCAAUUAGAAAUUAACAAACUUGUGAAAGGAUGUCUUGGGGAAAGUGUGUGUGAAUUUUUGCCUCAAUCUGUCCAGCUGUUCUGGAGAAGAAGAUUGUAAAAAUUUAUUAAUUUUCUAUCCAAGAUGGCUGACAAACCAUGUGACCUAUGACAUCAUAACUUUACAUUCUGCUUCCAAUCGUGUAGUGGGACACGUGUUAAGUUUCGUGUUAAUUGGAUGAGGUGUGUUUUUCUAUUUACGAUGACUGUCAAACCAUGUGACUUGUGACGUCAUUUUUACCAUGUAUGCAGACAUGAUGGAAGAUAAUAGUUGCACAUUUUCGCUUCGAUAGAUUGUCAUUAAGCAGUUUCAGAGAAAACAUUAUUUAAUAUUUUUUCUUAAAUCCAACAUGGCUGCCAAACCAUGUGUCAUAUCAAUUAUUCAUUAACAAACUUAUAUCCCCUACACAUGCAGAAUAGACUUGUGAAGUUUCCCCUUGAUCUGACCAGCCGUUCUGCAGAAGAUGUUUGAAGGUUUUAAGGUCAAUUCAACAUGGCCGCCAAACCAUGUGACCUAUCAAUUAGAAAUCAACAAACUUGUGAAAGGAUGUCAUGGGGAAUGUGUGUGCAAAGUUGUGCCUCAAUAUGUCCAGCCGUUCUGGAGAAGAAGAUUAAAAAAAAAAAAAUUCCCCCUAAAACAAGAUGGCUGCCAAAUCAAGACACCGAUGACGUCACAAUAAUAUUUUUCUACGGUGAUUUGUUGUGUUGAUGACGCUAAAAUUUCCAGAUUUUUCCCAUGUAGCGUUCUACUUGACGAAUUUUCACCGGCAUACCGCUUCACCGAUGACGUCACAAAAAAUCACCCGUGUUCCCCAUGGGGAGCUUAUUAAGGCCUAGGUCACAUUUGCCACGGCGGCCGUGGGCUCUCCAAAAUCUACGGCUACCAGCAAUUAUACGGCGGCCGCAGUAUUUCCAUGGUCACACAAUGUAGCAGUCACAUAUGUUUUUAUUUGUCGGGGAGCCGCACGGCGUAUUUAGGCCUAAGUCACAUUUGCCACGGCGGCCGUGGGGUCUCCAAAAUCUAUGGCCAUAAGCAAUUAUACGGCGGCCGCAGUAUUUCCAUGGUCACACAAUGUAGCAGUCACAUAUGUUUUUAUUUUUCGGGGAGCUGCACGGCGUAUUUAUAAAUUGUGUAGACCGAAAACGUGGGGUUGCUGUACGGUCUUUGAUUUGAUGUCGCACGCUGACCUUAGGGCGUUCCUGCGGCGGCCAUAGAAUUUUCAAGGCAGACGCAAGGUGACCGCAAGGCGACCGCUAAGGCGAACGUGUGGCCAGACGGACGGUAACAAAUGGGUUAAUUAUUAUUAUUUUUUUUUUGCCAUGUCUUUUGUUUCGGCUUGUCGAAUUGCUAUGGCGAACGUAGAAAUGAAAAAAGUUAUAACUCCGCGUUAUAAUUCCACGGCGCCCUUACGGCCUGUAAAAUAUAGCCAUACAGCGUAGGGCCAUCCUGAGGCCACCUCGGAAACUCUGCGGCUGCCACACGUUUCUGUCAAUUCAGAGGGCGUUCGGCCGCCGUAUCCUCGCCGUAGAGCAAAUGUGACUUAGGCCUAAAACGUAUGAAGCAAUAAUAAAUUCCAUUGCACGGUUUCAGAGAUACAGAGGUCCAAAGUUUAUCGGUUUUUUUUUUUAAGAUGGCACCCGUACCACAUGACCUAUGACAUCAUAAUUACAAAAAAGAUACAUACUAUGGUGAAAAUUUUGUGUCGAUCGGACUUACCCCCCCCCCCCCCCCCCCCCCCCCCCCCCCCCCC
rnacentral:lncRNA from 1 species